rnacentral:rRNA from 1 species
AGUCGAGGGGUAAAGGAGCUUGCUCCUUUGAGACCGGCGCACGGGUGCGUAACGCGUAUGCAAUCUACCUUGUACAGGGGGAUAGCCCAGAGAAAUUUGGAUUAAUACCCCAUAGUAUUUUCAGAUGGCCUCAUUUGAUUAUUAAAGUUCCAACGGUACAAGAUGAGCAUGCGUCCCAUUAGCUAGUUGGUGUGGUAACGGCAUACCAAGGCAACGAUGGGUAGGGGUCCUGAGAGGGAGAUCCCCCACACUGGUACUGAGACACGGACCAGACUCCUACGGGAGGCAGCAGUGAGGAAUAUUGGUCAAUGGGCGCAAGCCUGAACCAGCCAUGCCGCGUGCAGGAUGACGGUCCUAUGGAUUGUAAACUGCUUUUGUACAGGAAGAAACCCUCCCUUGUAAGGGAGCUUGACGGUACUGUAAGAAUAAGGAUCGGCUAACUCCGUGCCAGCAGCCGCGGUAAUACGGAGGAUCCAAGCGUUAUCCGGAAUCAUUGGGUUUAAAGGGUCCGUAGGCGGUUUUAUAAGUCAGUGGUGAAAUCUGGUCGCUCAACGAUCAAACGGCCAUUGAUACUGUAAGACUUGAAUUACUUGGAAGUAACUAGAAUAUGUAGUGUAGCGGUGAAAUGCUUAGAGAUUACAUGGAAUACCGAUUGCGAAGGCAGGUUACUACGAGUAUAUUGACGCUGAUGG